AACGAACGCUGGCGGCAUGCCUAACACAUGCAAGUCGAACGAGACCUUCGGGUCUAGUGGCGCACGGGUGCGUAACGCGUGGGAACCUGCCCUUAUGUUCGGAAUAACUCCCCGAAAGGGGUGCUAAUACCGGAUAAUGUCUUCGGACCAAAGAUUUAUCGCCUUUGGAUGGGCCCGCGUUGGAUUAGCUAGUUGGUAGGGUAAAAGCCUACCAAGGCUACGAGCCAUAGCUGGUCUGAGGGGAUGAUCAGCCACACUGGGCCUGAGACACGGCCCAGACUGCCAGGGGAGGCGGCUGUGGGGAAUUUGGGACAAUGGGGAAGCGCCAAAUCCGGCAGCGCGGUGUGGGCGAUGAGGGCCUAAGGGGUGUAAGGCUCUGUCGACGGGGAUGAUGAUGACAGUACGGAAAGAAUCACCUCCGGCUAACUCC
rnacentral:rRNA from 1 species